ACUGGGAACCCUUCACACAAAGGUACCUCCAGCAUGGCCAGUCACUCCUGGACAGAUCACAGACAUUAAGAUAAGAACAUUCAGCUACACCCAGAAUCUCCAUCACGUAAACCUUAAGGUCACUUUGGAUUCCAGCAGAGACUUGUAUGACUGAAGCUGUCUCUCAAGUCAUGAAGAUUCGC
rnacentral:lncRNA from 1 species